GACGAACGCUGGCGGCGUGCUUAACACAUGCAAGUCGAACGAUGAACCCGGAGCUUGCUCCGGUGGAUUAGUGGCGAACGGGUGAGUAACACGUGAGUAACCUGCCCUUGACUCUGGGAUAACUGCGGGAAACUGUAGCUAAUACCGGAUACGACCCUCGGCGGCAUCGCCAGGGGGUGGAAAGAAUUUCGGUCAAGGAUGGACUCGCGGCCUAUCAGCUAGUUGGUGAGGUAACGGCUCACCAAGGCGACGACGGGUAGCCGGCCUGAGAGGGUAACCGGCCACACUGGGACUGAGACACGGCCCAGACUCCUACGGGAGGCAGCAGUGGGGAAUAUUGCACAAUGGGCGCAAGCCUGAUGCAGCAACGCCGCGUGAGGGAUGACGGCCUUCGGGUUGUAAACCUCUUUUAGCAGGGAAGAAGCGAAAGUGACGGUACCUGCAGAAAAAGCACCGGCUAACUACGUGCCAGCCGCCGCUGAAA
rnacentral:rRNA from 1 species